UACGUAGGCAGCAAGCGUUGUUCGGAGUUACUGGGCGUAAAGGGUGUGUAGGCGGCUCUUUAAGUUUGGUGUGAAAUCUCCCGGCUCAACUGGGAGGGUGCGCCGAAUACUGAGGGACUAGAGUACGGGAGAGGAAAGUGGAAUUCCUGGUGUAGCGGUGAAAUGCGUAGAUAUCAGGAGGAACACCGGUGGUGUAGACGGCUUUCUGGACCGUAACUGACGCUGAGACACGAAAGCGUGGGUAGCAAACAGG
rnacentral:rRNA from 1 species